rnacentral:rRNA from 1 species
UGAGGAAUAUUGGUCAAUGGGCGAGAGCCUGAACCAGCCAAGUAGCGUGCAGGAUGACGGCCCUAUGGGUUGUAAACUGCUUUUAUAUGGGGAUAAAGUGAGGGACGUGUCCCUUAUUGCAUGUACCAUACGAAUAAGGACCGGCUAAUUCCGUGCCAGCAGCCGCGGUAAUACGGAAGGUCCAGGCGUUAUCCGGAUUUAUUGGGUUUAAAGGGAGCGUAGGCUGUUUGUUAAGCGUGUUGUGAAAUGUAGGAGCUCAACUUUUAGAUUGCAGCGCGAACUGGCAGACUUGAGUGCGCACAACGUAGGCGGAAUUCAUGGUGUAGCGGUGAAAUGCUUAGAUAUCAUGACGAACUCCGAUUGCGAAGGCAGCUUACGGGAGCGCAACUGACGCUAAAGCUCGAAGGUGCGGGUAUCGAACAGG